rnacentral:rRNA from 1 species
UGCAAGUCGAACGCGAAAGUCCCCUUCGGGGGGCAAGUAGAGUGGCGCACGGGUGAGUAACACGUAGGUAAUCUACCUUUGGAUUGGGAAUAACCACCGGAAACGGUGGCUAAUACCGAAUAAUGCAGCGGCACCUAAUGGUGACAGUUGUUAAAGCGGGGGAUCGAAAGACCUCGCGUCUGAAGAGGAGCCUGCGGCAGAUUAGCUAGUUGGUAAGGUAACGGCUUACCAAGGCGAUGAUCUGUAGCCGGCCUGAGAGGGCGGUCGGCCACACUGACACUGACAUACGGGUCAGACUCCUACGGGAGGCAGCAGUCGGGAAUUUUGGGCAAUGGGCGAAAGCCUGACCCAGCAACACCGCGUGAAGGAUGAAAUCCCUCGGGAUGUAAACUUCGCAAGAACGGGAAGAAUAAGUAAGGGUUAAUAUCUCUUACGAUGACGGUACUGUUUGUAAGCUCCGGCUAACUCCGUGCCAGCAGCCGCGGUAAUACGGGGGGAGCAAGCGUUGUUCGGAUUUACUGGGCGUAAAGGGCGCGUAGGCGGCCACCGCAAGUCGACUGUGAAAUCUCCGGGCUUAACCCGGAAAGGUCAGCUGAUACUGCGGGGCUAGAGUGCAGAAGGGGCAACUGGAAUUCUCGGUGUAGCGGUGAAAUGCGUAGAUAUCGAGAGGAACACCUGCGGCGAAGGCGGGUUGCUGGGCUGACACUGACGCUGAGGCGCGAAAGCUAGGGGAGCGAACGGGAUUAGAUACCCCGGUAGUCCUAGCCUUAAACGAUGAAUGCUUGGUGUCUGGGGUUUUAUAGUCCCCGGGUGCCGUCGCUAACGCUUUAAGCAUUCCGCCUGGGGAGUACGGUCGCAAGACUGA